GAAGUAAAGUCGUAACAAGGUCUCCGUUGGUGAACCAGCGGAGGGAUCAUUA
rnacentral:rRNA from 1 species